CACACCCGUGGCACAUCACACACACUCUCUACCUUUCUACCUUCACUACCUGCUACUGUGGGAUCCCAGGGGUCGUUUCUGAAGACAUGGCAGGUCACCAGAAAUUAAGAGGAAGAAACAAGAAGAGAAUGCUGAGAGGAACAUGCUGAACCCAAUUUCCAGAGAAUCCUACAUUGAAAGAUCUUCAGAGGGUGUUAAUAGACUGGAUCAACAAUGAGCUGGAGGAGGACAGGAUCAUCUUCAAAGACUUGGAGGAGGAUUGCUAUGAUGGACAGGUGCUCUAGAAGUUAUUUGAGAAGCUGUCAGGUCGGAAGCUAAUGUGGCUGAGGUGACCCAGUCAGAGAGAGGACAGAAGUAGAUCCUCCAAACUGUACUGGAGUCUGUCAACCAGCUGCUCAAGCCUCACGGCUGGUCCAUUGAGUAGAGCGUUGACUCUAUCCAUACUAAGAACCUGGUGGCCAUGCACUGUCCCCCAUCAGAUUGCCUAAACACAAGUCUGUACAGGUGGUGGUGGUCAAGGUAAGGAGACACAACACAUAUCUAUUAUCUGUUGCACAUCAUGAUUGUAAAUCAGAACUUGUUUUCAACUGGCCUACCUGGUUAAAUAAAGGUGAAAUAAAAGAAAAAAUGAUGAUGACUCAUUGGGAGAAUCUCAAUUGCAUUCAUCCUCACAUCCUCUCUCCUCGCUUGGGAGGGACCUCUGGCUUUCUCAUCCAAUGGGUCUUGAGGAGACGUGGAGAGAGGACGCAAUUCAGAUUCUUCCACUGACCUGUAUAGAUUGUUUAGUGUCAUGUCAUGUGACCAAGGACCUGACGAGCACUACAGAGUAAGUACUAUUGUUCACUUUCUGUUAGGUUUCCUUUUUGGGGGGAGGGGUGGAUCCUUAUUGUAUACGUAGGUAUAACAAUAAGAUUUCUGUUUUCUAUCAUUUUUUUCUAGAAUGAUGAUAGGUAGAUUUGGUGAGUAGAUGUUGGUUGAACAUUGAGGCCUGUUGUAAAAUGUGAUUAAUGCAGAGUUUAUUUUUUAUUUUUUACUGUAUCUCAGAAAGGGAUGCAUUUGACACACUCCUGGAUCACACACCUGACAAGCUCAAUGUUAUGAAGGAGGUCAAAUAUUUGAAGAGACAUUUAAACGUGCGUUCCUUUACACUUUAGGGGUUGGCGGCUUAAGUUGAGCCAUAGGAGUAUGAUCAGCCAACCUUGUUUCUAGGAAACCACACACAAAAUGAAUCAUUUGACCAGGAAGCGGUCAUCAUUUCUUGGAGUCUGUGAAGGAAGAAACCACAAGGAAAAAGUGGUAACCAAGUUAGUUCCAAAAAACGGAUUAAACUUUCUAGCUCUCCCUGUAGAUUUUGCAGUGACCUAGUGUCCCCAUGAGUGACAGAACACUGAGCCAAUCACGGCUCAACUACAGAAGAUUACCAACCCCUACGCUCUGUACUUUCCGCUGGGCCGCUGAGCUAGGCUGAAACACCUGCAUUUUGGAGCUGCCUCACUCAAGAAAGCAAAAAAUAGACUGUGUUUGUAUGCAGCUUUGUUAACUCAAUAUUAUUAUUUUUUUACAUUGUUUGCAAACUGAUAUGUGACACGUAUUAGUGCUAAAAUAACAAGCAAGUAAAUAUUGAAUGAAUGAUGGGUCGUCACUGCUUCUUCCAUAUCAACACGUGUUGACAUUAUUUGAUAACCCCUUGUCUUUGUGUCCAGUUUGCUGAUGGUGUGUAUCUGGUUCUGCUGAUGUGACUGCUGGAGGACUACUUUGUCCCCCUCUACAACUUCUUCAUCACACCGGAGAACUUUGAGCAGAAGGUCCACAAUGUGGCGUUUGCCUUUGAGCUGAUGCAUGACGGCAGCCUGAAGAAACCCAAAGCCAAACCAGACGGUAUAGUACUAACACAAUAUAUUACAUCAGUGUUUCCCAAACUAGGGGUUGCGACCCCAUAUGUUUUUGCCUGAUUUAUAAAUGGGGUUGUGAGAGAAAAUGUGCAGUGAUGAUGUUCUUUUCUACACAGAAUAUCAUACAACAUUAUUGCCUGAUGAUCUUCUGAACAUCCCAAUAACUUUCUGAUGCAUUCCAGUCAUUUCAAACCAUACUUCCUUCAGAUUGAAAUAAUGUCAAAAGUAAUGUCAGACUGAUUUGUAAUAGACUGUCAUAGCCCAAAUUAAAAAAGCUAACAUUGGCUGUAAAUUACAAAAAAAAGUUUGGGAACCCCUGCAUUAGAUGAACAGGGAGGGCGGAAACACAUGGGGAAUGCAGGCAGUGAACUUUCAGUUGAAGAGGGAAGCUUGCUGAAGGUAGACUGUCAUCGGAAUGCUCAUGAUGCUUGAGUAUAUUUAAUGCCUUAGAUGUCCGGUAGGUGGAGCUCUUUUCUCACUUUAGAUACUUGAACAUUGAUGUACGUCUAAGCCAGCAUGUGACCCAAACACACCCAACCUCACCCCGCCAGCUUUUGUUUUCCUGAAUAUAAAGUCUCACACGAUGAAUUGUCGAAACAAAAGUGUUUAUAUUUUUAUGUUUGUAAACCAAUAUUACCCAGAUUCAAGUCAAGCAGGAUGAGCUUUUCUUUGUGUUUGUGAUUUUCCCUCUCAGAGAGAAUUUUUUUAUUUUUGUUUUUAUAAAUAAUUCUUUACCUCUUUUGUGUGCAUUGUUUGGUUAUAGACAUUGUGAACCUUAACUUGAAGUCCACCUUGAGGGUGUUGUACAACAUUUUCACCAAAUACAAGAACUCUGAGUGAGGUCUGCCUGCCAGACACAGUCACACACACAGCUACAGUGUGAGGAGAAUGAAGGCACUGUGCUUGUGCCCACUUUAAGCCUAAACAAUGAUUGAACCCACGGGAAAUAGACAAAAUUCACCCCUCGUAUCAGUGCCGUGGGACUUACAGAUACCCCCGAGGACUGGCCUGAAGAGACUGAUUGUUUGUAUUUAAUCUCCCCCAAUGUCAGAAUUUAAUUCCUCCUUUAUGCUAACCACAACCCAUACUGCAGCACACUUAUGUUUUAAUACUCAGUCAACACUGGAGAAUGUAUUAUGCAAUUGGAAAACAUGGACAGCAAAUUAUCCAGCGUUAAAAACAAAACAAAAAUAUCACUGAGAGUGUUAAAUCAACACUGAAAGUGUUGAGUCUGUGGACCAAUCUAGACAGUGGAACAGUGUUAAAUUAACACUCUGUUUUGUGUAAAACCUUGUUCAAAUAUUUCCCAGAGUUACUUGUAUUUCGAGUGAAUUGAGUUACCAGCCAUGAGUGUAUUUGUUAGUGGCAGAGACAUGGUUGUUGCAUGCAUCCAUUUUCAGUCCUAUGAACUUAACCAAGUGAGAUCCUAAGUGAGUAUGUAUCAUGAAAAAAUAAGCUUUUUAACUAAAUAGAAUAAGUAUUACACAAGGCCUUAUUUUGAGGGCCUAUUUUUACCCUAAUCCAUGGGCCAGAAAUUCAUACAAAUCACUUUCAACCAAAACCAUCAUUAUCAUAUUUCCCAGCAUUUUAAAAACUUUACAGGGUACCAUUACUGUUGCAAGUGUUUGUACCCCUUUAGGAACAAAUCAAACCCUUUUUUGUGUGUAAUACAAUGGCCUGAAACUCACGAAGUGUGUUAAUUUAAAACUGUUCCAAUGUCUAUAUGGGUCCACAGACUCAACACUUUCAAUGUUGAUUUAACACUCUGUUCAUUUUGUUUGUUUUUUACACUGGAGAAUUUGUUGUGUGGGUGUGUAUUUUCUGCAAAAAGCCUCUACUGCUUUAUAAGAAGAUAUUUAAAAUGCUGUAUGUUCUAUCUCAUAAAGCUUUAUACAGUAUAUUAUUAUUGAUGUACUUCUAUUGUAUCUAUCCUGCCAAUGACUGGAAUGAAUUGCAAAAAUCACUGAAGCUGGAGACUUAUAUCUCCCUCUCUAACUUUAAGCAUCAGCUGUCAGAGCAGCUUACCGAUCACUGUACCUGUACACAGCCCAUCUGUGAAUAGCACACUCAACUACCUCAUCCCCAUAUUGUUAUUUAUUAUUUUGCGCUUUAGCACCCCAGUAUCUCUAUUUGCACAUCAUCAUCUCCACAUCUAUCACUCCAGUGUUAAUGCUAAAUUGUAAUUAUUUCGCCACUAUGGCUUAUUUAUUGACUUACCUCCCUAAUCUUAUUACAUUUGCACAGACUGUACAUAGAUUUUUCUUUUGUGUUAUUGACUGUACAUUUGUUUAUCCUGUAACUCUGUGUUGUUUUUGUCGCACUGCUUUGCUUUAUCUUGGCCAGGUCGCAUUUGUAAAUGAGAACUUGUUCUCAACUGGCCUACCUGGUUAAAUAAAGGUGAAGAUUUUUUUUUUUUUUUUUUAAAGAUAAAUGAAUUGUAACAGUGCUAUUUUAGUAUUCUCUGACUGGCUAUAUGGACAGGUUCAAGCCAUAUUUCUUGAUGCCGACCCUGUUGCCUUUCACCUUAAGUGCAAUAUUAUUUAUUCUCCUUCUGUACCACAGAGCAUCAUUUUGUUGACCUGCCCUUCAGAUGAGAGGGAGAGCUGAAUGUACAGGAGUCCACUCAUGCAUUUUAGACCAUGGGUAAAUUAUUAAGUGGUCAAGUCUGGAUCGCCAGGAGACAGGCUGUUCAAUGGAAACAACUCGCCUCACUUCUUGUAUGUAUCUGCCUGGACGUGUCUGUCUAUCAAGAA